GAUGAACGCUGGCGGCGUGCCUAAUACAUGCAAGUCGAGCGAACGGACGAGAAGCUUGCUUCUCUGAUGUUAGCGGCGGACGGGUGAGUAACACGUGGAUAACCUACCUAUAAGACUGGGAUAACUUCGGGAAACCGUAGCUAAUACCGGAUAAUAUUUUGAACCGCAUGGUUCAAAAGUGAAAGACGGUCUUGCUGUCACUUAUAGAUGGAUCCGCGCUGCAUUAGCUAGUUGGUAAGGUAACGGCUUACCAAGGCAACGAUGCAUAGCCGACCUGAGAGGGUGAUCGGCCACACUGGAACUGAGACACGGUCCAGACUCCUACGGGAGGGAGCAGUAGGGAAUCUUCCGGAAUGGGCGAAAGCCUGACGGAGCAACGCCGCGUGAGUGAUGAAGGUCUUCGGAUCGUAAAACUCUGUUAUUAGGGAAGAACAUAUGUGUAAGUAACUGUGCACAUCUUGACGGUACCUAAUCAGAAAGCCACGGCUAACUACGUG
rnacentral:rRNA from 1 species